AGCUGGUAAAAAGGAACCAAAUCACCUCUUGAAUGGAUUUGGUCCCCUUCAACCAGCUGU
ensembl:miRNA MIR133A1 microRNA 133a-1